AGCUCCAAUAGCGUAUAUUAAAGUUGUUGCAGUUAAAAAGCUCGUAGUUGGAUCUCGGGUGCUAGCAUGUGGUACACCUUACGGUCGUUACUGCUUGUCUAGUCCUAAUCAAUCGGUUGGCUGACUAUUCACUUAGCUGUGUGUUUUCAGUAGCCGGUACGUUUACUUUGAGAAAAUUAGAGUGCUUAAAGCAGGCUUUACGCCUGAAUAAUGUUGCAUGGAAUAAUAGAAUAGGACCUCGGUUCUAUUUUGUUGGUUUUGUAGAGCAUUGAGGUAAUGAUUAAUAGGGACAGACGGGGGCAUUCGUAUUGCGGUGUUAGAGGUGAAAUUCAUGGAUCGCCGCAAGACGAACAACUGCGAAAGCAUUUGCCAAGAAUGUUUUCAUUAAUCAAGAACGAAA
rnacentral:rRNA from 1 species